rnacentral:tRNA from 1 species
GCCGGGGUGGCCGAGCCAGGUCUAAGGCGCGGGCCUGGAGAGCCCGUGGCCCGCACGGGCCGCGUGGGUUCAAAUCCCACCCCCGGCGCCA